GACGAACGCUGGCGGCGUGCUUAACACAUGCAAGUCGAACGGAAAGGCCCUGCUUUUGUGGGGUGCUCGAGCGGCGAACGGGUGAGUAACACGUGAGUAACCUGCCCUUGACUUUGGGAUAACUUCAGGAAACUGGGGCUAAUACCGGAUAGGAGCUCCUGCUGCAUGGUGGGGGUUGGAAAGUUUCGGCGGUUGGGGAUGGACUCGCGGCUUAUCAGCUUGUUGGUGGGGUAGUGGCUUACCAAGGCUUUGACGGGUAGCCGGCCUGAGAGGGUGACCGGCCACAUUGGGACUGAGAUACGGCCCAGACUCCUACGGGAGGCAGCAGUGGGGAAUAUUGCACAAUGGGUGGAAGCCUGAUGCAGCAACGCCGCGUGCGGGAUGACGGCCUUCGGGUUGUAAACCGCUUUCGCCUGUGACGAAGCGUGAGUGACGGUAAUGGGUAAAGAAGCACCGGCUAACUACGUG
rnacentral:rRNA from 1 species